rnacentral:lncRNA from 10 species
AGACACCUAAAGGCCUCCGCUAUGUGGGCGGUGACCCGCCCGUGACGUAAGCUCCAGACGCCUGAGAAGUGGAAGGACCCGGCGUCCAGGACAGGAAAGUGCGUGAUUUACAGCUAGAGGGAUAGGCGCUGUCCCGGAGCCCGUCCUGGGCCAGGGAGCAGGAGAGGGAGGGACUACAGUUCCCGACGCGCUGCGGGGCGGGCGGAGAUCGUGCGCUUCGGCGCCAGUUGCACGGCCUUAGCAGCCAGUGGCGGCUCCCCUGCUCCUGUAACAGUCCCCUUGUCUUCUGACCUUUCGCUCCUCGGUCAUGUGUCCUCGCCGGUCGCCGCGGCAGCCAGUGAUGCCCGAGCGGCGGGUUCCCAGGCCCAGGUGUGGGCGCCACCGCCCACCAUGCGCCAAGCCCAGAGCCUGGUUGAAUCGUUCGCCACCUUGUCUACCCAUUUUGGCCAUUAUCCUGCCACCUCCAAAUCCUGUUUUUGACACUUCUCGGGAGAGAGAGAAAACGGAAAGAUAAAGGAAUAAACUCCUCGUGGUCGUAGUUAGUGGGUAAAUUCAGAUCUCGUUUGAACCGAGGUUUUUCUUAUCUCCAGCCACCGUAUCCACCACCACCAGAAUCGUCUUUUUAGUCAUCACAGCUGGUCGCCGUCAGUACCUUGUUCAGAAGCCUCUCGCAGCUUCCAUCGUGUGGUUAUACAAUCCAAAUUCCUUAUAAAGUCCAAAUUCAAGAGGAGGAAUGCACGUUUAGUUAAGUUAAUGUCUAGACCUUACCAGCCAAUUUCUAGCUCCUCAGUAUGGAAAUUGCAACUGAAAACACCCCUUCCAAAAAAAGCAGUCUGCAUUUUUCUCUGAGUUUUCUUCUCCAAAUUUCGCACCCCUGACCUUGCUUACACACUCUGGAUACCACCUGCUGUGGAGUGGCGGAAGCAGACAUCCAGCGAUAGCUAAGUUUCCUGUCGUUGACACCCAAGCAAGACAGGCGUGUACCUAACUGAGGACCUGCCGGUGAUAGAAGUCUCAGCUUUUCUCAGAGACAGAUGAGUCUUCCCUUUAAAUGCUGCAAAGUGCUGCAUAGUAGAUGUUAAAUGAAAGUCAGAAAGAAUCAAAUGUGCUGCAAAUAAUUGAAGUUAUUCCCCAGCCUCCCUGCACCUGACAUGUGAUUAAGUUCUACCAGCCAAACAUCAGCAAAAGGGGCCUGGCCCCUAGGGCCUUCCUGUGCUCUUUGUCACUUCCUGCUGACUGGAAGAGGGAUGAAUCCCAGGACCCUGAGCUGGUGGUUAAGUUACUGUCUCUCGGCCCCACACCUUCCCUUUUAUACUCUGCCUUGUGACGUAGGGACUGGGGAGCCACGUGCCACCUCUCCUGCCAGAGUUCUGUUCAGCUGUGCCAACAGAUAUACACAAGGAAACCAGAAGAUAAGAGGUAGGAGAGGGGCCUGUGCCUCCCAUUCUGUCCUGUCCGACUCCUGGUCCUGCUAGCGUCUUGCUAUCCUUGCUUUCGCACCUGGCAGUGGCAGUUCAUGAACAGAGCGGCAUACGAAUUGGGUCUGCAGUUUCUCUGACACACGCAGAGCCAGCCUCAUAGCAUCCCCUCGGAGAUACCAGCAAAGUUGGUUUCCCAGCUCCACAGAGCCCUGAGUCCAAGAGCAGAGGCCUCAGCACCAGCCCAGAAGGUCCCUUCUUCAUAUGUCUGAGUGUGAUUUCUGGGUGGCAGCUCCUCCACAUUUCUGAGUUUUGCUCACUCCUUCCUCCUUCUUUUAUUCUCUCCAG